rnacentral:rRNA from 1 species
UUAGAGUUUGAUCAUGGCUCAGAUUGAACGCUGGCGGCAUGCUUUACACAUGCAAGUCGAACGGCAGCGGGGGCUUCGGCCUGCCGGCGAGUGGCGAACGGGUGAGUAAUGCAUCGGAACGUGCCCAGUCAUGGGGGAUAACUACGCGAAAGCGUAGCUAAUACCGCAUACGCCCUGAGGGGGAAAGUGGGGGAUCUUCGGACCUCACGUGAUUGGAGCGGCCGAUGUCAGAUUAGCUAGUUGGUGAGGUAAAGGCUCACCAAGGCGACGAUCUGUAGCGGGUCUGAGAGGAUGAUCCGCCACACUGGGACUGAGACACGGCCCAGACUCCUACGGGAGGCAGCAGUGGGGAAUUUUGGACAAUGGGCGCAAGCCUGAUCCAGCCAUGCCGCGUGAGUGAAGAAGGCCUUCGGGUUGUAAAGCUCUUUCGCAAGGGAAGAAAACGUGUGGGCUAAUAUCCUGCGCGGAUGACGGUACCUUAC